rnacentral:rRNA from 1 species
ACUGAACGCUGGCGGCAGGCCUAACACAUGCAAGUCGAACGAGUGGCGGACGGGUGAGUAAUGUCUGGGAAACUGCCUGAUGGAGGGGGAUAACUACUGGAAACGGUAGCUAAUACCGCAUACCAUAAGAUGUGCCCAGAUGGGAUUAGCUAGCUGGUGGGGUAACGGCUCACCAAGGCGACGAGCCCUAGCUGGUCAGAGAGGAUGACCAGCAACACUGGAGCUGAAGCCCGGUCCAGACUCCUACGAGAGGCAGCGGUGGGGAAUAUUGCGCAAUGGACGCGAGCCUGAUGCAGCCAAGCCGCGUGUAUGAAGAAGGCCUUCGGGUUGUAAAGUGCUUUCAGCGGGAAGGCGUUACCCGCAGAAAAAGCACCGGCUAACUCCGUGCCAGCAGCCGCGGUAAUAC